rnacentral:rRNA from 1 species
AGGAAAAGAAACCAACAGGGAUUGCCCCAGUAACGGCGAGUGAAGCGGCAACAGCUCAAAUUUGAAAUCUGGCCCCCCGGGGCCCGAGUUGUAAUUUGCAGAGGAUGCUUUUGGCGAGGUGCCCUCCGAGUUCCCUGGAACGGGACGCCAUAGAGGGUGAGAGCCCCGUCUGGUUGGACGCCGAGCCUCUGUAAAGCUCCUUCGACGAGUCGAGUAGUUUGGGAAUCGUCGUCUAAAUGGGAGGUAUAUGUCUUCUAAAGCUAAAUACCGGCCAGAGACCGAUAGCGCACAAGUAGAGUGAUCGAAAGAUGAAAAGCACUUUGAAAAGAGGGUUAAACAGUACGUGAAAUUGUUGAAAGGGAAGCGCUUACGACCAGACUUGGACCCGGUGAAUCAUCCAGCGUUCUCGCUGGUGCACUUUGCCGGGCUUCAGGCCAGCAUCAGUUCGCGCCGGGGGAUAAAGGCCUGGGGAAUGUGGCUCCUCCGGGAGUGUUAUAGCCCCUCGCACAAUACCCUGGGGCGGGCUGAGGUUCGCGCAUCUCGCAAGGAUGCUGGCGUAAUGGUCGUCAGCGACC